CGUUCCUCCUUCCUCCUCCCAUCGCUCUGCCCCCUCCCUUCCCUCCCCCCUCCGCCGCCCCCUCUCGAAUCGAAAUCCCUCUCCGCCAUGCCGAAGGGCGCCAAGAAGCGCGCCAAGCUCAAGAAGCAGCAGCAGCAGGGCCACCCCGACGAUGGCGGCAACAACAACACCAGCGCCAACAACGGCCACGGGAACGGCAGCGACGACAGCAGCAACAACAACAACGCCUCCAGCCGCCGCGACGGCGGCCACCACCUGCGGAUCCCACCCAAGGUUUCCCGCGUGGAUGCGAGCGAGGACUCGAUGGAGAGCUCCGAGGAGAUGGUGACGCCCCGGGCCGCCGCGUCGGAGGCGGACGAGGAGGAGAGGAAGGCCGCCGCCGCGGCCGAGGUGCCCGUGGAGCGCGCCGUCGAGGCCGGCGAGGAGGUUAUGGUGGACGCGUUGCCGCCGGAAACGGCUGGGCAGGAACGCGAGGGUGAGGUGGAUGCGGCGGUGCAGGAACCGGAGGUGAAGGAUGUGGUGGUGGCCGAGGAAUCCGUGGUGCAGGAGCCAGAGGCGCAUGAGGUGGAGGUACCAGAGGUGAAGAGGGAGGUGGCCAAGGUGCAUCCGGUGCAGGAACCUGAGCCAAAGGUUGAUGAAGUGGUGGUGCUCGAGGAUACGAGCCUGGCACCUGAGGUACAGGAACCAGAGGUGAAGAGUGAUGGUGCCAAUGUUGUGGUGCAGGAACCAGAAACUAAGGCUGGCAAUGUGGUGGCCAAGGACUCCACUGAGGUGUCGCGGCCUCGGGAGGCUGUUGAUGUGCAUACUGCAGAGGUGGCCCGUGGACCUGCAGUGGCAGUGGCUGCUUCAGGGCAGCGGGCAACAUGGUGGAAUUGCUGCGGGAUUUUUGAUGUAUUUUCUGGUUCAGGGAGAUAGAUGAAGUUAGAAGCAGUGAUUGAAGACCAGAAAAAUUAUUAAACAGAUUGUCCAGAUCAACUAGUUUGCCUCUAUAUAGCUGAAGAGUGCAAGGUGAAGAUAGGGAGUUGAUUGCACCAGGGUUUGAACUUGGAAGUCGAGAAGACAGAAAAUGCGACAUAGCUCGGUUCAAAGCUUAUGGGUCAGUUGUAACUAGAUUUGGUUGAAUAGUCACAUGAAUGAUGAAGCAGAAGGAUUCCGGAUAACAUCAAGCUGAUGUUUCUACUUUCCCCCAUCCCUGUGUUUCCGCGUCUGUGCAAAGUUACACCCUCCUGGUUGUGUGGUUAAUAUUCUUGAUUUCCUGGGCAUCCCGAGGUCCUCUUCCCCGCCUUGUCUAGUGUCGUCUAGGUCCUCAUCUUGUAGCAUAAGAGUUGGAGUAAAGAAAUGUUGCUGUUUCUGCGCUUAUACUUAUUUUGCUCGGGGCAUCAUCCGCUAUGCCCCUUCCUCUCAUGGUUGUCACUUGUAAGGAGUAUAUUUGUUCAAACAAUUUGAGACGUUCCUUGCAGAGCCCGCUCCUGAAUGUCA